GAUGAAUGCUGGCGGCAUGCCUUACACAUGCAAGUCGAACGGUAACAGGUCUUCGGAUGCUGACGAGUGGCGAACGGGUGAGUAAUACAUCGGAACGUGCCCGGUCGUGGGGGAUAACGAAGCGAAAGCUUUGCUAAUACCGCAUAAGAUCUAAGGAUGAAAGCAGGGGACCGCAAGGCCUUGCGCGAACGGAGCGGCCGAUGGCAGAUUAGGUAGUUGGUGGGAUAAAAGCUUACCAAGCCGACGAUCUGUAGCUGGUCUGAGAGGACGACCAGCCACACUGGGACUGAGACACGGCCCAGACUCCUACGGGAGGCAGCAGUGGGGAAUUUUGGACAAUGGGCGAAAGCCUGAUCCAGCCAUGCCGCGUGCAGGAUGAAGGCCUUCGGGUUGUAAACUGCUUUUGUACGGAACGAAAAGACUCUUUCUAAUAAAGAGGGUCCAUGACGGUACCGUAAGAAUAAGCACCGGCUAACUACGUGCCAGCAGCCGCGGUAA
rnacentral:rRNA from 1 species